rnacentral:rRNA from 1 species
GAUGAACGCUGGCGGCGUGCCUAAUACAUGCAAGUCGAGCGAACAGACGAGGAGCUUGCUCCUCUGCCGUUAGCGGCGGACGGGUGAGUAACACGUGGAUAACCUACUUAUAAGACUGGGAUAACUUCGGGAAACCGGAUCUAAUACCGGAUAAUAUAUUGAACCGCAUGGUUCAAUAGUGAAAGACGGCUUUGCUGUCACUAUUAGAUGGUUCCGCGCCGCAUUAGCUAGUUGGUAAGGUAACGGCUUACCAAGGCGACGAUGCGUAGCCGACCUGAGAGGGUGAUCAGCCACACUGGAACUGAGACACGGUCCAGACUCCUACGGGAGGCAGCAGUAGGGAAUCUUCCACAAUGGGCGAAAGCCUGACGGAGCAACGCCGCGUGAGUGAUGAAGGUCUUCGGAUCGUAAAACUCUGUUAUUAGGGAAGAACAAAUGUAUAAGUAACUAUGCACGUCUUGACGGUACCUAAUCAGAAAGCCACGGCUAACUACGUG